rnacentral:misc_RNA from 1 species
AAGUCGUAACAAGGUUUCCGUAGGUGAACCUGCGGAAGGAUCAUUAACACGUUCCAAAACGUAUCAACCAAACGGUUAAGUGCAAACUUAUUCCCUGACUGGGGGAGCUGUACACACAUCUCUAGUGAUGGGUGAGUUCGAAAGGACUCGCAGAGAUGUGUGGACUAGGGUCUCGAGCCCAAAGUUCCUUCAGUGAGGCUUUUUUCCCCCCUUUUUUCCAUCACUUCCAACUAACCAUUUUCACCCCUCUAAAACUUAUGACUAAAUCUUUCGAACGAAGAAAUUUGUUUGGAAUUGUAUAUCUAACACUGUACAACUCUUAGCAAUGGAUAUCUUGGUUCUC